rnacentral:rRNA from 1 species
GCUUAUGGCCAUACCACCCUGAAUGCGCCCGAUCUCGUCUGAUCUCGGAAGCUAAGCAGGGUCAGGCCUGGUUAGUACUUGGGUGGGAGACCACCUGGGAAUCCCAGGUGCUGUAAGCU